rnacentral:rRNA from 1 species
CGGCGUGCCUAACACAUAGCAAGUCAACUUGACUGAAGGAGCAAUCUGACAGUAGAGUGGCGCAAGGGUGCGUAACGCGUAAGUAACUUGCCCAAGGUAAGGAAUAACGUCGAGAAAUCGGCGCUAAUACCUCAUAAUGCAGCGGAUCCGCAUGGAUAUGUUGUUAAAGGUUUACCGCCUUGGGAUAGGCUUGCGUCUGAUUAGCUAGUUGGUGUGGUAACGGCACACCAAGGCUACGAUCAGUAACUGGUCUGAGAGGAUGAUCAGUCACACUGGAACUGAGACACGGUCCAGACUCCUACGGGAGGCAGCAGUGAGGAAUAUUGGGCAAUGCUCGAAAGAGUGACCCAGCAACGCCGCGUGGAGGAUGAAGGUAUUCUAUAUCGUAAACUCCUGUGAGAGCAGACGAAAGACAGAUUAUUAAUCUGGAUGACUGUAUGCUCAGAGGAAGCCCCGGCUAACUACGUG